GACGUAGGGGGCCAGCGUUGUUCGGAAUUACUGGGUGUAAAGGGUUCGUAGGCGGUGCGGCAAGUCGGGAGUGAAAUCUCUGGGCUUAACCCAGAGGCUGCUUCCGAAACUGCUGUGCUUGAGUGUGGGAGAGGCGCGUGGAAUUGCAGGUGUAGCGGUGAAAUGCGCAGAUAUCAGGAGGAACACCUAUUGCGAAGGCAGCUCGCUGGGACGUAACUGACGCUGAGACGCGAAAGCGUGGGGAGCAAACAGG
rnacentral:rRNA from 1 species